AUAAUCUGCAACGCUCCGUGUACGUAGUCCAUGUUAUGCCUUUUAUUGGUCUCAGUGGCUUACAUUGCAAAGGUCAGCUGCAAAGAGAAGAUGUACAAAGGCUGUUUUGUGGAACAGGGAGGACAUCCUUAGGACGAGUUGUAAUUGCAUACUUACGCCAUGCUGGGACGCCAGAACUUAUCCACAGCUACUUUUGUUUCAGGGAGAGUGAAAGCUGGGUUACAAGGUGCUUGCUAACUGAGGCUUCGUGGUCAGCAUAUAUCACUAGUGGAUGAGUCUGGCGUUUGUCAAGCCCCAGAACAUGAUGAACAACCCAUUACCACCAGAGUAAUGGAGAGGUCUGAACGUCCACAAAUGACAACCGGGAGCAAUUGAAGUAUGAUGGGGAAGGAGGAUGGGCUGCAGCUCCAGGUGAAAAGAAGAAUUGGAUCAACAGCUGAUACUGAGAGAGGCAGGAGGUUUUCACUCCCUUCAAGACUCCAUAUUGUAUGUUUUUCCAGACUAUCCUAUAAAUAAAAAGUCAUUAAG
rnacentral:lncRNA from 7 species